AACGCAUAUUGCGCCCGCGUCUUCGGACAAGGGUAUGUCUGCCUCAGCGUCGGGUUAAUAAUCGCAAACAAAUCCCUGUGGUUCACCCCUGUGGUUUUGUCUAUUGCGGAUCUGGCCGUCCCGAUUGAAUUUUCACUCGGGUCUGCUGAAGAGCAGAGGUUGACGCAUGGACCCGAUUAAGGGCCGCAACUGGGUAGGCAAUUCGUUGCUGAUGCUUUAGUUGUUGGCUUGUGGACUGUGCAAUGUCAGCUCAAACCAGGAACCGAGCCUUUGUGCUUGGAAUAACCCUAUUUUCUCGACCUGAGCUCAGGCAAGAACACCCGCUGAACUUAA
rnacentral:misc_RNA from 1 species